AAUUAUAUAAAAUGUUUUUACAUCUCAAAAUGAAAAUUAUCUGCAAAAUAAUUUAUAUUUCAUAUAUGUAUUCUAACAUAAAGAUGGACUGGAUCUGGAAUCAUCCUGAAAAAUUAGAUGUGAGACUUGGAAUCGAACCUGAUCCAAGUUUGAUUCCAAGUACAAAUAUUCGAUCUUUAAUUCUCGAUUCCAAGUACAAAUAUUUAACAAGGAAAAAUGACAAACAAUCCUGAAGAAAGUAUUGUGUUCAGAGAAAUACCAAUUGUAUGUAAAUCAAACCAAUCCCAGAUGUAUGGCAGGGCCAACUAUAUUCCUGAAGAUUUUGUAAAAACUGACUGGGCUUGUCAUUGCCAAUGAUUAUCCAAAACCUGGACAGUCAUAGAUGAAAGUUAGGAUUUCAUUAUUUUAAAGUUAUUUUUACACAUGUUGUAUUUUUUAAUUAAUUAAUACUGUAAAGUAAAUACAGUAUGGUUUUUUUUAUACUCCUUGAUUAAUUGUUAUUUUUGUUUCUGUUCUUUUUAAUUCUGUUAUUGAUCAAUGCAG
rnacentral:lncRNA from 1 species